GGAAAGGUGGUGCAGAAAAACUUUGAGAAAGGAAAAAAAAGGGCUUAAGUCCGACGCUGCUAAAUGCGUAAAAUUAACCGAACUCUUUUCAAAAGGUUUAAAUUCGGCUGCUGCAGCGGAGGACAGUUAGUGCCGCAGAGGAUGUUGCUGGAAUCAGUACAGCCAGAGACCCCUGGUUUUCCAAUACCAGUGCUGUGAGGAAGGAUGCUACGGUAGGCCAAGCAGAGACAGGGAGGAGUGUGGUAGAGGUAGGAAAAACCCAACAGACAGACAGUGACAACAAAGAACAACAUACUGUAGAGAAUGACAG